AUGGCCGGCGGCAAGAAGCCGGUGCAAACGGACAAGGGUGACAGGUCAGGGUCGAAGUCACCCUCGAAGUCGCCGCCACGCCGUUCACGAUCACCAUCCCGUUCUCCCCCGCGACGCGGACGGAGCCGCACGAUCCGCGGCCGCGAGCUGGCGGCGCCUGUGGUGCAGAAGGUGAUCCGGGAGUCUGGACCGGGGAACUGGCCGAUGCUAACCAAGACGAACUACAACGAUUGGUCGCUCUUGAUGAAGGUGAAGCUGGAGGCGCGGGGCUACUGGGACGCCAUCAAGCAUGGCGACGUCGACUUCCACGAGGAUUGUAUGGCACUGGAGGCCAUCCUUGGAGCGGUGCCACCCGAGAUGGUGGGCACGCUGGCCAUCAAGACGACGGCGAAGGCGGCGUGGGACGCGAUCGCCACCAUGCGCAUCGGCGGCGACCGCGUGCGCGCGGCUAAGGCUCAAUCGUUGGCGCGGGACUUUGAGACCAUCGAGUUUCGCGGUGGCGAGUCCGUGGAUGAUUUCGCGAUGCGGUUGGGAUCCAUGAUCACCAGCCUCAACAUCCUUGGUGACAAGGUCACUGAGGAGAGGGCCGUCAACAAGUUUCUGCGAGUCGUGCCGCCGCGCUACUCGCAGAUCACUCUCGCGAUUGAGAGGCUCGUUGACCACAGCACACUGAGCAUUGAGGACCUGACGGGGCGCCUUAAGGCUGCCGAGGAGCGGUCGACUCGCAUGCCGGCGGCAGCCUGUUGUACACUGCCGAAGAAUGGGCGGCACGCACGAAGGAGAAGAGGCAAGGCGAGUCAUCUAGCGUGA
rnacentral:rRNA from 1 species